UAUUGCCUGAAAUGCGCGGCACUCUUGUUUUUGGACCACCAUUUUUUGAAGGGGAGUCCGGGUCGAAGUGGAAUAAGAAUAUGCCCUUAGUCGGGACAUUCGAAGACCACCGCAGGGCACCCACCUGGCAUGAGGCUGGGUAUCAAAAAAAAGUGCGCCAUUUCAGGUUUUUA
rnacentral:other from 1 species